AAGGCACAUACUGUGCUCCUAUGGCAAGUUUAGCUGAGGGUUAUUGUGUUAGUAUUAUGUGACUCUUAAGUUUUGGCUUUUAAAAGCCAGAGCUGCCUGAUUAAGGAGACCUCAGCAACACCUCUGGUGAAAUGUCUGACACUUUUAUAACUGUGUGAAUCCUGACACUAGGGGGCACUCGUUGUCUGUGAUUUACAUGCAUUUUCAUGCAUUGAAGUACUGCUUUCUAUAUAAAUGAACACAUUUAAGGACAAAGUGCAUGUUUUGCCUUGUCAUGUGCUUAAGUGUUUGAUGACAGCUUUGUGAGGGCCGUGUGCAAGUGUUUAUUGAGACUCAAUGAGACAAAGACUGAUUUAAGACCCAUGCUGCCAACUGCUUUACUUGUCGAUUUCUUUGCAUAUCUUAUGAACAGCAGUAGUAAAAUAAGAGAAAUACAAAAAAGUAAAAAUAAAAAAAGAGAGAA